CUUGCUGCGGUUCGGUUCCCGAGUGGGGUCUGGAACCCGCCUCCCUCGUGGACCUUGACCUCCAGCGAACCUCGUCGCCACGUUUAGCUCUCCCUGACCUGAUUUUGAACCCGCUAAUCCCGUCCCGAACUCUCGCCCCGCGGCGAUCCCUCUCCCGGGCCUGGCGCGCUAAUUCCCGCUGACCCCGCGGCCCCGCCGCCUCUCCCAGCUCGCGCAGCUUUGAACCUCGGCGAGGGCUUCCGGCCUCUGAGCGAGGGCGUGAUCCCGCGCGCAAUCUGCACCUCCUGCGCGCAAUCUGCACAUCCCGCCUAGCCCCCAACCCAGCUUCAACACUCUCCACCCAAGCCAACAGCUUCUAACUACAAACAUUCCGCCCUCUCGCUUUCCCUAGGUUCAUUUGUAGUUCUGUGUCAUUCAUUUGUUUCCUUAAGAAACCUACCGGCCUCACAGAGAUCAAAAUCUUCCGUAACACGUUCAGCUGGCGACACUGUGAAGCUGCAGGCACUUUCGUCGUGGCUGGCCAACAACGAGGAGAUAGGAAGAAAAAGCAGGGAACGGUUCAUCUUGUGCAAGUGCCAAAGCGAAGACUGAAAAGGCUGGAAGAAAGCAGGCAGCG
rfam:Ictidomys tridecemlineatus contig023925, whole genome shotgun sequence.